AGAAUAAAAUCGAGGCGUCGCUUUUUUUUUUUUAAGGGUGAUCGCGUCGGAAUUGAGCCGUCUUUCCAUGUCAAAGUGGCUUAAAAUUCAUCCAUCCGGUACGAUUAAAGCGUAUUUAAGAUCAAUUUUGAUUAAGAACGCGCGAUGACGUACCAUCUCAUGUAGUACGUUUGACCUGGCGUCGUCAGGAUCAUUCGUAUACGAUACUCAAC
rnacentral:misc_RNA from 1 species